GAGAGACAUAAGUUCAUUUAUUUUAUUUUUUGCUCUCAUUUAGAAAUUGUUCCCUAUCUACUAUCUCGCACGUAAAACCUCAGCCAUAGGGAACGGGCUUGACGAAUAAAUCAGCGGGGAAAGAAGACCUUGUUGAGCUUGACUCUAGUCUGACUCUGUGAAGAGACAUGAGAGGUGUAGCAUAAGUGGGAGGCCGUGA
rnacentral:ncRNA from 1 species